AUGAAUGCUGGCGGCGUGGAUAAGGCAUGCAAGUCACGGGGGCUCUGGUAGUAAUACUUGGGCAACCGGCGAACGAGGUAGUAAUACGCAGGUACGCACCGAAAAGUCUGGUAUAGCUCGUCGAAAGACGGGGUAAUUCCGGAUGGUGUAGCGAUACUAAAGGGGCAACCCGCUUUUUGAGCGGCCUGCGGAGCAUCAGCUAGUUGGUAGGGUAACGGCCUACCAAGGCUAUGACGCUUAGGGGACCUGAGAGGGUGACCCCCACCGAUGGGACUGAGACACGGCCCAUACACCUACGGGUGGCUGCAGUCGAGAAUCUUCCGCAAUGGGCGAAAGCCUGACGGAGCGACGCCGCGUGAUGGACGAAGUCCUUCGGGACGUAAACAUCUUUUAUGCGUGAGGAAGUAAUUGACGUUAGCGCAUGAAUAAGGGGCUCCUAACUCUGU
rnacentral:rRNA from 1 species